rnacentral:lncRNA from 1 species
GAUAUGUUCUUCAAACUACUGCCAUAGAACAUCUCAGAAAACAGGACUGCCUGGGCAGCUCAGACUGACACACUUGCUUUCAUCUGAAACCAGCUAAUAUUUCAUUUUGCUUGCUCAAUUAUUCUGCUUUUAUAGAACUCAUGACACUCAGUGCAGUAAAAUCAUAAUUAGAAGCUCUUAUGUAUAACAUUGAUUAUUUCAUGCCAUGUCUUUAUUGAAACAAUAACAUUUAUUUGUUGUUUGUUAUCAGGUGUCAUUAGUUCCUUGCUAGAAUUUCUUUGGUGUCCUUUCUGCAUUUCAAACUCACAAAGGUUCUGUGAAAAGCAAUAUGUUCCCCAGUGGAGCUUAAAGUCUGGUGCAGAAAGCAGACAUUUAACAGGUAAGCUGAGUGUUCAGAAAGGCUAAGCACAAGAUGAUAUAGGCAAUAAAGCUGACCUACUAUAGAUUAAGGCAGACCUUUCUAAAGCAGAGACAACUAAGGAAUGUGGGAAUUUGCCAGGCAAAGAUUGGGAGGCGGGGGACAUCAGAAAAAUGAAAGAAUAUUACUGGCUACAUAAUUGAAACUUUAUAACAGUCGAAUUGGUCAUAAAGUUGAUAACACUGUAUUGUGCACUUAAAAUUUUGUUAAGACAGCAGAUCUCACGUUAAGUCUUCUUACCAAGAUAAUAAUAAUAAUAAAAGAAUAAGAGCAUUACUUGUUGAAGAAUAUGUAAAGAGAUAGAAACAUAAGACAUUUCUCUAAAAAUAACAUUAUAAGUCAUUGGCUAUGGAGAUGUUUGGCAUUGUUGCAUAAUGUCGAAUUGUUUCUGAAGACCUUAGAGUUUUUGAAGAUCUCAAAGAGUCAGGAUUGUUGAAACAUACAGAGAAACAGGAUGAUGGGUUAUAAGAAGAUAUCAAAGAAAAAAGUGUUAGUUUGCAUGUGUGUUUGUUAAUUUGUGUGUUUUCAGCAUAGGGAACAUAUUUCAGCAUAGGGAACACAUUUAUGAAAGCACAUGGAAGGAAACCAGUGGAUGGAGAGAUUUUGAAGAUAAAAGUGAGAGACAGCAUAAUUAAUGGCACAAGUUUCCAAAGGAGUGGGGAAAAUGAGUUCAAGUUCAUAACGGAGAGGGGAAAGAACUGAGAAUAAAAACAGGGUCUUCUAGUUACACUGCCCAGUGUUUCUUCACACUUGCUAAAGCUGGUUAAGAAACAAUAGCAGCACAAUGUAAAAGUAAAUGCAUUAUUCUUUUAUGAUUUGAAACAAAUUAUGUUUCUAAUAUAGUAGAAGGAUGAGUGUUUUAUUUUAUUUUUUCAUGUACCAAUUCAAGUUAAUGGAGAAAAGAGUCUGAAGACCAUGAGCACAAUGUAAACUCUCCUCUUGGAGCUAUCCAUUGAAAAAUUCCUCUAAAAAAUUCUUCUAGUCACCAUUUUCCACAGGCAUUAAGACGAUUCAAGUGACUUUUAUUAGUAAAAAACUAUAUUCUUCAAAAGAAUAUGUGUCUGGUUGAAUAUUUUUUCGUAUAUUAUUGCUUUUAUUAUAACAAUGGUUAAGGUGUCUUGAUCAUUACACUGAGUGUUGCCAGUACACAAGGACCAAGCUGGUAAAUGUUAAACAUUUAACAUCCGAGAUGUGUCCAGGAAUAGCUAUUCAACUCUGCUAGAAUGACUGUGUCAAUUAAUCGACCACUCAUGAGGAAGUGUGCAUGAUGGAUUUUCAAAUUUUUUUGGCAAAAAACUGUGUGUGUGUGUGUGUGUGUGUGUGUAUACACAUGCAAAUAUUUGUAUUUGAAAGAUAAUAUUUGUAUUAUCUUUCAAAACUAUUUUUAAAUUGUUUAAAUGCUUAGACCCUUUGGAAAAGCUACCGUUACUGAAGCUAGAAUAUGAGUUUCAGGAUUCUACCUUUUGCUCCAAGAGAUAGCUUUAGAAGGGUCAUUUAAAAAAUGUGCUGAUAGGUAAAAAUCAGUCAAAGGAAGGAUAAACGUUUCCAGGCUUUCUCUACUGUUUGUAUCUAGGCUAGACAAGUCUAUCUCGGCUUAUUGUUAUUCCAGUCUGACUAAUUUUCUUUGUAUUUAAUGACUCUGUUAAAUGUGUCUGCUUUAUGUUUCACAAAUACUUAAUCAUCUGCUUAUUUCAUCAUAAAGGAACUUUUUGUUUACAGAU